rnacentral:rRNA from 1 species
CUACGGGCGGCAGCAGUGAGGAAUAUUGGUCAAUGGGCGAUAGCCUGAACCAGCCAUCCCGCGUGCAGGAUGACGGCCCUAUGGGUUGUAAACUGCUUUUCUGCUCCAAGAAACCCUGUUACGUGUAACAGGUUGACGGUAGAGCAGGAAUAAGCAUCGGCUAACUCCGUGCCAGCAGCCGCGGUAAUACGGAGGAUGCAAGCGUUAUCCGGAUUCAUUGGGUUUAAAGGGUGCGCAGGUUGGGGAGUAAGUCAGUGGUGAAAUACUGCCGCUUAACGGUAGAACUGCCAUUGAUACUGCUUUUCUUGAGUAUGGUUGAGGUAGGUGGAAUGUGUUGUGUAGCGGUGAAAUGCAUAGAUAUGACACAGAACGCCGAUUGCGAAGGCAACUUACUAAGCCAUUACUGACGCUGAGGCACGAGAGCGUGGGUAGCGAACAGGAUUAGAUACCCCGGUAGUC